ensembl:miRNA
UCCAGCAACCACUCACAUACCAGCUGACGUCGGUGGGUGUAGUUGUUGGAGG